UUGUUCUCUUACCAUUCUGAGCUUUGGUGAAAUGAGGCUAACGUUCUCGAAGCAGGCGUAUGUGCACAGAAGAAGAUACGGACCCCAGCAGAACAGCAGCGCUUUCAGAGAUGGAACUGUAGGACGACUGCAAAACCAUAACCGGGAAUGCUAAAUACAGUACAGUGAUGGACACCAUGUAGGUGAUGUAACUCCUGAAGAAGACAGAGAAGAAAACAACGUAUUACUCUUGCAGAAACAAGAGUGAAGUAUGUUUGCGUUCUCCUCUGUGAGAUGGAUGUACCGGUCUCCUUGUGUGUAGUCGAGCGUACAGCACGUUUUCAUCGGCUCAAAGUCAAAGACGCCCCAUCC